rnacentral:lncRNA from 1 species
AAGUUGACUUCCUCUAUGUUUUCUACUGAAAAGGCACGUCUGGCUGGAACAUCUGAAGUCCCUUGUGGGCUUGUGUCCCUCCUGAUGUAUUUUUUUCGUUGACACUAUGUUGUUCCUUCUCUUGUGCCCUUUUGGUCGUCUGAGCUAUUUCAUCUUUUAAUAUGAUGAUCUCUAUGUUUCACAGCUUGAUAUCAUUGUGCUCAAUCUCUAACCCCGUCCUUUUGUUUGCAGACCUGAUACACUUGAUCCAGCUUUAUUACGUCCGGGACGAUUGGAUCGCAAAGUUGAAUUUGGUCUGCCUGAUCUGGAGAGUAGGACACAGAUAUUUAAGAUCCAUACGCGCACAAUGAACUGUGAGCGGGAUAUUCGGUUCGAACUGUUGGCCCGUCUCUGUCCCAACUCUACAGCAUAAAGACAUAAGGUAAGUAAUUAUUUUUCUCUUUCAAAUUCUUGAAAUUCUACGAUUUGAUUUCAUAUACAAACAAAGACAACAAAGUUUGAUUAUAUGAACUGUUGGCCCGUCUCUGUCCUAACUCUACGGGUAAUGUCUCAUACAUAUGAGUAGUAUGUUCGACUUCUUGUUUAUACAAUAAUGCAGCUGACAUUUUGAUGAUGGGCCUUAACUGUGUCUCUGAUUUAACGUCUGCCUCUCUUAUUUUGCUAGCAUAAAGACUGUUCUAUUAUAGCGGCUGUUUGUGCUAUAUCAUACUAUUGUCAUACUAGCUUCAUCACCUAUUCAAGUGCCAACUUCCUAUUUUAGGUUUGUCAGAAAAUUUACAGGAUUAACCAUUAGAAGUUUAAAGAAAUCAAAUUCUCCUAAUAAUCUACUUAAAUCAGGUCGGAUAUUUCUUCCCUUUUUUUUCCAAGGUUGGAUAUUUUCUUUAUUAGACCUAGUUAUUUACUAGUAUAUUAAUGUUCUUUUUUACCUCCACUAUUAUGAUGUGUAAUGAACUUCAAUUUUUUUUUAACUCUAUAAUAUAAAUUUGGUCCUAUAACUUUUCUAAUUCUCAAUCCUAGUCUUCUGUCAUUCUGUGACAUGGUUACCGUCUUUCUUGAUAACUGAUUCUGAUCUCUCUAUUUGUUCUAUGGCAAUUAACUAUAAUUAACAAUAGUUAAUUGCCAUAUUGGGAGUUUGAAGGGCUUUAAUGUUGUGGGAGAACUUAGAUUAAUUGCCAUGUAGGCACAAUGUGGGAUGCAUAUCAGCAGCAAUCACAUUGCAGAUAACAUACAUCCCCCUGUGCUACUGAUGCACUACUUAAAACUGAAGUUGAGGUUGCAGCAUCAAAGGGGAAAUGUGUGGUAGUGUCAGUGAUUUAUUGGUUGAAUACAGAGUAUUUGAAGCAGAAGGGUAAUUUUGUCCGACAAAAAGCAUCAUUACUAACUUUAUGGCUCUAUAAUUCUAGGAUUAUGACAGAACGACAAAUGGAGGUCUGGAUAUCAAUUUUAAUGGAAUUUCAAAAGCAAGAGGGAUCUUUGAUGCCCCACUUGCGGGAUUACAUUCGAUUUUUUGUUGUUGUAAGAGGGAUUGUUGAUAACUUAGAGA